UUCUUCUUCUGUACGGUGGGGGGAUAGAGCAGUGUUAGGAUAACUGACUUUUUUGUUGUUCUCUGGGUGCAUUCUUCUCGCUCCCCCUCUCUCCCCCUCACCCUCUCACUCCUCUCUCUCUCCCUCUCCCUCUCUCUCUCUCUCUCUUUUAAAAAAUCAGCCAUUUGGGGUUUUAAGCCAUAAACGAUUUUUCUUGUUGCAGGGGAUUGCAGUGGCAAAGCUAGGCUAGGUCUUGGAGGCUGGUGUAAGGCGAAGCGGGUGAAGGCAGGAGGCUGAUGGAGAGACUGGGGGGAAGAAAAGCCGACAUGGAUUCACGGUGUCUUGGAUGGAGGACGAGAGGGGAAUUGCAAGCUCCUUCAACUCGUUCUGUCCGGUGAGAAGUGAUCAAGCUUGGGCUGACAAGAGGCUCAGGAAGCCCUCACGUUCUUUCGCUUUUUUACCUGCCAAUCAAACUGCUACAAGACAACACCCUGAUCUGGCAUGGACAUCGCGGGUGCAAGCCUGUAGUCCCAAAUCGGAUAUCUCUGCAGCUGAUAACAAGCAAAAGAGAAGCCAGGCAACAGCCAUAUUAAAGAAGAAAACAAUCAACUCUGAGGAUGCCACCCUGAAAGUUUUAUUUUCUCCAGGAAAGUGGAGUUCUCUUUGAGAGUUCUAGCCUGUGAACUCAGUAUGUAAAUGUGGUCAUCAAGCAAGACUGGAGCCGCCAAGAGGGAAGAUUUUGAAAGUUUCUCUUUCCUAAAACCCUUCCCAGCAUUCCUUCUUCCGGGGGUGCUUUCCUCAAAGUUCUCCCCUUUCCCCAGCCCUGUUGACAGUGACCCCUGAGCAACACGGCAGUAGCUAAACCAGCUGUACUGUGAAGCUGUCGAGCUGGUAUUUCAUCUGAAUCCUUUGUAAAAAUUAGAUUUUAAGUAGGGGUGAGUGUCCUUUUGGGAGAGGGGACAAGGGUGAGGGGAAGAAGAGGGGGAGGGGAUGAGCAGUUUAUAUACAUAUAUACUCUUUGUGUUUGAAGGCCUCUGUGUCUUGGCUUCUCACUAUGUUAAAUCCCUAUUAUAAAACUUAUCUUCACAAAGCCUAUUAUAGUAUUCUGAGAACAAAUUGGACCAUGAAUAACUUAGUUGGAAGUGUAGAUUAUUUUCUACUCAGGGAAAGUUAGAGAUGACAACAGCUUAACUAAAAGAGUAGUGAUUAAUCUUAAAUAGAUGGAUUUCAAAGUUUCACUCUUGAUAGAGAGUACCUUUGAUAUUUCCCCUCUUCAGACUCAUGUUUCCACUUUCUUUGUAUUAAGAAUUGUCCUAGUGAUUACACUGUCCACCUAAUACAGCAUGACUCUGACUAUAGAUCUUUUUCUUACAGGUUGUUAAUCUGUCAGAGAGGUGAGCAGAAAGACACUUUACUUCCUAAUGAUUAAAUAUAUGGUCCCAAAGUGGUCCCUGUGCUUAGACAUCAAACUCUCUGGGAGAAAUAAUAUCUGGCAUAAAUCAAAAUUUCUCAAUUAGACAAAAAUUAUUAUUUAAAAACACCUUCAAUUUAUUUAGUGCCCUACAGCUUACAGAACACUUCUCAAUUCAUAAUUUUGUUUGAUCCUUAGAAGACUGUUAUGAUAUAAACAAAUAGCAUUAAUCUCAUUUUACCAAGGAGGAAGCUGAGUCACUCGCACGCUGUGAUCCAGCUGAUAAAUGGAAGAACUGCGAUACCAACUCAGAUUUUAUGGCUUCUGUUUUAAGUGACUAACCUGUAGCAAUAGGCAUCUAAAUUCCUUUUGUGUUUUACAUGCCCGAAAAAUCAAGAUUUUGCAUUAAGGAGCAAAGUUUUUAUAUUUCACAGAUACCGAAGUCAAAAGACCUGAUUGAAAAAAAUUCUAUUCACUUAAAAGUCAAUGUCAUGAAUUAGUGUUUUCCCUUAUGUGUUCAUGCACAUGCGUGUGUGUGUGUGUGUGUCAAUAGUCUUUCAGAGGUGAGAGUCUUAAUUUCUAAAAGCCAAACAUGGGCAGCCCUAUAUAAAUUAAUAACUGCCUGGAAUUUUUUAAAUGUCCUUGAAAACCAUUAAUUGUUUCAAAAUAGAAUGUAAGCCUUUAGAAGACUGUUUUGCCUAUAAAGUGCUCGAGAGCAUGGCAUCGAUCAAGUUCCAGAGUGUUAUAAGUGAGGUUUCCCUUUUUUUUUUUCAGCUUCACUGAGAUAAAAUUGACAAAAUCGGAAGAUAUUUAAAGUAUAUAUCUUGAUGAUUUGAUAAACAUAAACAUCAUGAAAGUAUUCCUCCUAUCUGCUUAAUUAACACAUCGAUCACUUCACGUCUUU